UCCGGUUUGUCACCGGCAGUCCCAUUAGAGUGCUCAACUGAAUGUAGCAACUAAUGGCAAGGGUUGCGCUCGUUGCGGCACUUAAGCCAACACCUCACGGCACGAGCUGACGACAGCCAUGCAGCACCUGUGCUAGCCCCUUACGGACACGCGCUUUCACGCGCUUUAACUAGCAUGUCAAGCCCAGGUAAGGUUCUUCGCGUUGCGUCGAAUUGAACCACAUGCUCCGCUGCUUGUGCGGGUCCCCGUCAAUUCCUUUGAGUUUUAGCCUUGCGGCCGUACUCCCCAGGCGGGGCACUUAAUGCGUUAGCUACGGCACGGAACCCGUCGAUAGAGCCCCACACCUAGUGCCCAACGUUUACGGCGUGGACUAC
rnacentral:misc_RNA from 1 species